GACGGGGGAUGCAAGCGUUAUCCGGAAUGACUGGGCGUAAAGCGUUCGCAGGUGGCUGUUCAAGUCAGCUGUCAAAGACCGUGGCUUAACCGCAGAAAGGCAGGGGAAACUGCAUGGCUGGAGUGCAGGUCGGGUAGAGGGAAUUCCCAGUGUAGCGGUGAAAUGCGUAGAGACUGGGAAGAACACCGGUGGCGAAAGCGCUCUGCUGGACUGCAACUGACACUGAGAGACGAAAGCUAGGGGAGCGAAAGGG
rnacentral:rRNA from 1 species